GCAGCAUGGCUCGCCUAUGACGAAUCGUUUCGUAUGAGGGCGGCCUUUGAUACCUCCCUCCCAUGGGACAAAAAGGAAGCGGACCUGUGGCUACAGUUUAUGUCACACUCCAAGCCCAUAGCCGGGGAUAGAACGGACAGCGGCCACCUCCUGGCCCACCAGUCAGCAGCAGCUCCUUCCCGCGGGCCUGUGGGGCAGGGGGUUCAACCCCGCCUGCUCUGCUGGGAGUUCAGCUCCCGAGACCGCUGUGGUCGUAACCCCUGCAGGUUCCGACAUGAGUGCGCAAUAUGCGGGGGCCCGCAUUCCUGCGCUGCCUGCCCCAGGGGCCACCCCUUCAGAGGUGGAAACAGGGAAUCACCUGGCGCAAGGAGACCGGGAGCUGCUAGCGCAGCUCAAGGAAAGGGGCCCCAGUCCAGUUAAACUCUCCGAACUCCAGCGCUUGCAGAGGGUUUCCGGAUUCCCUAUUUGGGUCCCAGGCACCCCUUCAUGUCCCGCAACCUAAAAUCAGUGGCAGGUAUGGAAUCGGUCGUGGGGGAAAAAGUUAGGAAGGAGGUCAUGGCAGGCCGCGUGCUGGGCCCCUUUGCGGCACCACCCAUCCCUUCACUCAGAGUUUCCCCGCUGGGCCUUGUUCCGAAGAAGGCACCAGGCGAAUUUCGCCUUAUACACCACCUGUCCUUUCCCCAGGGUGGGUCAGUAAAUGACUUCAUCCCAUCAGACCUCUGCUCUGUCCGCUACACGUCAUUCGACUGUGCGGUUCGUAUGGUUAGGGACUGCGGGAUGGCCGCCCUCAUGGGAAAGUGUGACAUCAAAUCUGCCUUCCGUCUCCUCCCUGUGCACCCACGGGACUUUGAGCUGUUAGGCUUUGCCUUCAUGGGCAAAUACUGUGUGGAUAGGGCAUUGACUAUGGGCUGCUCCAUCUCAUGCUCGGUUUUUGAGCGCUUCAGCUCUUUCUUGGAGUGGGCAGUCAGGAGACGGGCAGGCCGGCAAUCAGUGGUGCACUAUUUGGAUGACUUCUUGUUUGCGGGCCCUGCAGACUCGGGUGCCUGUCAGGCAUUUAUGGAGCAGUUUGCAGGGAUGGCGGGGGAACUGGGUGUUCCCCUUGCGGCUGAGAAAACUGAGGGCCCGUCCACUACCCUCACUUUCCUGGGCAUAGAGAUCGAUACAGUGGCCCAAUGCUGUAGGCUCCCGCGGGAUAAGCUGGGGGCCCUUAAGGGGAAAAUCUCAGAGGUGGUUGGGGCAAAGAAGGUGACAUUGGCCACACUUCAACAGCUGGCAGGACAUUUGAACUUUGCAUGCAGGGUGGUAGCACCCGGGCGCGCAUUCUUGCGCCGCAUGUACGAUGCCAUGGUGGGCCUAUCACGCCCCCACCAUCACACACGUGUUACAGCCGCUCUCUGGGAGGACCUGGCAGUUUGGUCCACCUUCCUGCGGGAAUUCAAUGGGGUCUCCUUAUGGAGAAAAGAUCGCCUGUUGGAAGUGGAGCUACAGGUGAACUUCGACGCCUCAGGUUCCUGCGGUUUUGAGGUCAUUUUCCAUGACUCAUGGUGUCAUGGCAGCUGGCCACAGAAUUGGGCGCAGGCUGGCCUAACCAGAGACCUGACCCUUCUGGAGUUCUUCCCCAUUGUUGUGGCCGUACACCUUUGGCUGGACAAACUGGGCAAUUCCUCAGUCCAUUUUUGGUGUGACAACCUCCCCACGGUACAUGUCAUCAACACCCUGUCCUCUAGAAAUCCCAAUGUUAUGCGUUUGGUUCAAGUGUUUGUGCUCCAAUGUCUCCGCUAUAAUAUACAGUUCCUUGCGCGCCAUGUCCCGGGUAUUGAUAAUAGCAUUGCUGAUGCUCUAUCAUGGAACCAGAUGGAGAUAUUUCACCAGCUGGCGCCGUGGGCAAGGGCUCAGCCGGACGUGGUACCCCCAGCACUAUGGGAGAUUGGAGGACCGAAUCAGAACGGGCCAUAAGCCUUUCUGUGGCACCCAGCACUUUGGCCAGCUACCAGGGGGCAGGUAGGGACCUGGCAACCUUCAGGGAGUCCAGAGGCUACACCCAGGAGUGGCCCAUCCCCGUGGAGCAUCUUAUGGAGUUCUGCGUGGAAGGGAAGCGGAGGGGGCUUUCAGUCAGGACCAUCAGAGGCCGCUUGGAAAGAUCGGAACAAGUGAGCAUCCUCCUCUGCGGCCACAGCAUGAUCUUCUGGGCAGGCCGCAGGGCGGUGAAGUCCCGCAUUGGAACGCAGCUGGGGCUCAGUCAGUGGGCCUCAGUGCGGUGGCUGGGACGACGGGGGAUGCGUUGGGACGGCCUACCUUGUUCCGGUCGGCUGUGGACUGGGCAGUGCCCCAGGUGCUGGUCAUCCACCUGCGAGGUAAUGAUUUGGGUCUGUUGAGGGGCAAGGCCCUAAUCGAACAGGCAUGUAGUGACCUCCAGGCCAUUGCGCUGCGCUGGCCUGUGGUGCACUUGGUAUUGUCCGACAUCCUGCCGCGCAGGACGUGGAAUUGGGCUGAUGACCCACGGGGAAUGGACAGGGCUCGGAAAAAGGUUAAUAGGCAGAUUCAGAGGGCCAUGAAGGGCCUGGGGGGGUUCUGUCAUACACCACCCAGAGAUCAAGCAAGAUAGGCUGGAGUUGUUUAGGCCAGAUGGCGUGCACUUGACUGACGAGGGCAAUGACAUCUUCCUAAUGGACCUGCAGAGGGGUGUGCACCGGAUUCUUAUCGGGUGUGGGGCAAGGGGAGACUAAGCAGAGGCUUGUCCCCCUUUUGUGGCAAGGAAGCGCGGGGGAAAGGUUAAAAGGGAAAGGGCAGCUAGGUGACACCUUUAGGCACCUUUGGGGGUGAUUGGCGGUCUGGGGGCCUGCAGCUCUGGGCUAUACGGCCCGGGGGGGCAGAACACGGGCCGCUUUUGGGGCCAACGUGCCUCAUCCACUCAGAGUUUCAUGGCUCCGGGGGGCGGUGAUGCGGGUUGGACCCCCUACACAUCUUCAGGGUGUGGCCGGAGCUGGGGCCUGGCACAGGGCAGCCCCAGGCUCUGGCAAGGUUUGGUUGUCCUAUAGCUCCAAGCAGGCUUCGCCUGGAUCAGCUGAAUUCCCCCGCACUGUAUGGUCCCUCUGCAGGUUCAUUGGUUAUAAUUGACUCUGUUUUUAA